rnacentral:lncRNA from 1 species
UCACAUUCCAAGUUAACUAAAUAUCUGGAUUGAAUAGGCACUUGCUAAAACGAAUAGAAAAAAAUGAGGACCACCAUCAAUUCCAACAUUGAGAACUCGUAUUUUAGUUGGAAAGAAAUGCACACAGUUUGGAAUCCUAUGUAAUCAAGAUAAGAGAACAACAAUUUUCCAAAUGCUUUCCGUGGGCCAGCGUGGAAACUUAACUCUCUCACACAGACAACGAGAUUACACUCUGACACCAAGCCCUGCCCUUGUGGGAAGUAUGAUAAGCCUCAAGGCAAACAAUUCUUCCUUCGCGAUUGCAGUCUGGGCACCUGAUGAUAUAGAAUGACUCAUUGGACUCCUGCCUCUUCUACUUCAUUCUUACCAUGAGCUCCCCUAGAAGAUGUAGUCUUCCACCGUUACCAAAAUCUGCAACCAGAAAGAUCAAGCUCUAGGAAGCAGUACACACUAUACUCCUGUGUGGAAACAAAGUAAUCCUCAUCAGAUCAUCUAACUUGCUGUUGCUGUAAGGACUGUGAAUUGGUAGCAAUAAAUAAGCCAUGGGAAAUAGGAGGGAAAACACCAUCAAUGACAAUAAAAACUGAAUGUGAAA